GGGAUCAUGGCUCAGUGGUAGAGCGCUUGCCUAGCAUGUGGGAGGCCCUGGGUUUGAUCCCU
rnacentral:tRNA from 1 species